rnacentral:antisense_RNA from 1 species
GGGUGCCUGAAGCCGUCUGCUUCAGGUGACUGCGGCAGACAGCAAAAAGCCCCAAGCGAUUUUUUCAAUCAACUUGAGGCUCUCUGUUAUGCCUAGACAACAUGAUAGUAGCCUCCUGACUUCGGAGGUGCAAGAGAAUGUCACGAAAG